UGAUAGAGUUGCAGCGAGUGUGAAAGCAAAGGGGGGGCUAGAGUCUGCAAAACUGCAUCUAAGAUGCAAUAAGAGCUACAUCCCACAGAAACGGUCAUGGAUCUUUAGCAUCGCACGAUGAGGGCAUAAUCCUCGAGCCGGACUUCGACCUUGCGGUGGCAAGAUCAACUUCCGAGAAGCGAGGGGGGCAUUCGUCGUUGGAGCUACCACGUGAUACAGCAAUGGAGGCCUGACCAACCAGCCUUGACGUGAGGUUGUGAACCCUGGAAGCCAUCAAAGAUGGUGGCGUGACGAUGCUUUUGGUUCCCGUGGUCUUCAUCUCCGGCUCGAUUUUGGAUCCAGCUACCCUCCUUGUGCCCAUGUCUAUUUGUUCUUUGCUAACAUGUUGAGACAUGAAAGGUCGUUCCUGUGGUCGACUCUUCAGGUCAAUGAGGAAUCAACAACCGAGGGCGCCACGACCCCGUGAAGGGGACAACGCGAAUGACCCAGAAUUAUUGACCAGAAUAUUGCCAAAGUUGAUUUUGGUUCGGCAUUUGCAAAAUACUUUGAGCUUCUAAAUGCCUUUCUAUCAAAGUCGAGAUUUGACCAACAUCACAUGACAUGGAUGGAUGGUGCCGAUGGCAUGAACUCGGCAUCGACGUCACCUAAGGUGAGGCUCGAGGUUGCGCAACCUCAAGGUGGUGUUAUGAGGAUCGCGAAAACCUGGUAAGCUGGGCACACUAUCCGACUCUUGCUCAUGCUCAUGCCAUGAAGUUAGAACAAAGAGUAAGUACCAGGUGUUCCGACAAGUGAUCGAGAACCCAAUUUAAUUACUACUUCCGCUAAAAUUUCUUACCAACUUAGAUUUUUUGAUCCAGUUCUUAAUUGACUGUCAGAAGGUUGGCCUUUGCCUCGUGGCUGCUGCUCAAAAAUAUAUAUCAGCCUAUCAGAAAGUGUUCAAAGAGUGAUGUCCGAUUUAUUAAGACUGGUCUUCAAUUAAUAACAAGGACGACUAUUUUAUAGA